GACGAACGCUGGCGGCGUGCUUAACACAUGCAAGUCGAACGGAAAGGCCCUGCUUUUGUGGGGUGCUCGAGUGGCGAACGGGUGAGUAACACGUGAGUAACCUGCCCUUGAUUUUGGGAUAACUUCAGGAAACUGGGGCUAAUACCGGAUAGGAGCUCCUGCUGCAUGGUGGGGGUUGGAAAGUUUCGGCGGUUGGGGAUGGACUCGCGGCUUAUCAGCUUGUUGGUGGGGUAGUGGCUUACCAAGGCUUUGACGGGUAGCCGGCCUGAGAGGGUGACCGGCCACAUUGGGACUGAGAUACGGCCCAGACUCCUACGGGAGGCAGCAGUGGGGAAUAUUGCACAAUGGGCGGAAGCAUGAUGCAGCAACGCCGCGUGCGGGAUGACGGCCUUCGGGUUGUAAACCGCUUUCGCCUGUGACGAAGCGUGAGUGACGGUAAUGGGUAAAGAAGCACCGGCUAACUACGUG
rnacentral:rRNA from 1 species